AUGAACGCUGGCGGCGUGCCUAAUACAUGCAAGUCGAGCGAACGGACGAGAAGCUUGCUUCUCUGAUGUUAGCGGCGGACGGGUGAGUAACACGUGGAUAACCUACCUAUAAGACUGGGAUAACUUCGGGAAACCGGAGCUAAUACCGGAUGAUAUUUUGAACCGCAUGGUUCAAAAGUGAAAGACGGUCUUGCUGUCACUUAUAGAUGGAUCCGCGCUGCAUUAGCUAGUUGGUAAGGUAACGGCUUACCAAGGCAACGAUGCAUAGCCGACCUGAGAGGGUGAUCGGCCACACGGGAACUGAGACACGGUCCAGACUCCUACGGGAGGCAGCAGUAGGGAAUCUUCCGCAAUGGGCGAAAGCCUGACGGAGCAACGCCGCGUGAGUGAUGAAGGUCUUCGGAUCGUAAAACUCUGUUAUUAGGGAAGAACAUAUGUGUAAGUAACUGUGCACAUCUUGACGGUACCUAAUCAGAAAGCCACGGCUAACUACGUG
rnacentral:rRNA from 1 species